AGAGUUUGAUCCUGGCUCAGGAUGAACGCUGGCGGCGUGCUUAACACAUGCAAGUCGAGCGAAGCACUUAAGUCUGAUUCUUCGGAUGAAGACUUUUGUGACUGAGCGGCGGACGGGUGAGUAACGCGUGGGUAACCUGCCUCAUACAGGGGGAUAACAGUUGGAAACGGCUGCUAAUACCGCAUAAGCGCACAGUACCGCAUGGUACGGUGUGAAAAACUCCGGUGGUAUGAGAUGGACCCGCGUCUGAUUAGGUAGUUGGUGGGGUAACGGCCUACCAAGCCGACGAUCAGUAGCCGACCUGAGAGGGUGACCGGCCACAUUGGGACUGAGACACGGCCCAAACUCCUACGGGAGGCAGCAGUGGGGAAUAUUGCACAAUGGGGGAAACCCUGAUGCAGCGACGCCGCGUGAGCGAAGAAGUAUUUCGGUAUGUAAAGCUCUAUCAGCAGGGAAGAAAAUGACGGUACCUGACUAAGAAGCCCCGGCUAACUACGUGCCAGCAGCCGCGGUAAUACGUAGGGGGCAAGCGUUAUCCGGAUUUACUGGGUGUAAAGGGAGCGUAGACGGCAAGGCAAGUCUGAUGUGAAAACCCAGGGCUUAACCCUGGGACUGCAUUGGAAACUGUCUGGCUCGAGUGCCGGAGAGGUAAGCGGAAUUCCUAGUGUAGCGGUGAAAUGCGUAGAUAUUAGGAGGAACACCAGUGGCGAAGGCGGCUUACUGGACGGUAACUGACGUUGAGGCUCGAAAGCGUGGGGAGCAAACAGGAUUAGAUACCCUGGUAGUCCACGC
rnacentral:rRNA from 1 species